rnacentral:rRNA from 1 species
ACAUGACUCUCGGCAACGGAUAUCUCGGCUCUCGCAUCGAUGAAGAACAUAGCGAAAUGCGAUACCUGGUGUGAAUUGCAGAAUCCCGCGAACCAUCGAGUCUUUGAACGCAAGUUGCGCCCAAGGCCUGAGGGCCGAGGGCACACCUGCCUGGGCGUCACGC